CCUACGGGGGGCAGCAGUGAGGAAUAUUGGUCAAUGGGCGCGAGCCUGAACCAGCCAAGUAGCGUGAGUGAAGAAGUAUCUCGGUAUGUAAAGCUCUAUCAGCAGGGAAGAAAAUGACGGUACCUGACUAAGAAGCCCCGGCUAACUACGUGCCAGCAGCCGCGGUAAUACGUAGGGGGCAAGCGUUAUCCGGAUUUACUGGGUGUAAAGGGAGCGUAGACGGCAGCACAAGUCUGGAGUGAAAUCCCGGGGCUUAACCCCGGAAAUGCUUUGGAAACUGUGCGGCUGGAGUGCAGGAGGGGUAAGCGGAAUUCCUAGUGUAGCGGUGAAAUGCGUAGAUAUUAGGAGGAACACCGGUGGCGAAGGCGGCUUACUGGACUGUAACUGACGUUGAGGCUCGAAAGCGUGGGGAGCAAACAGGAUUAGAUACCCGGGUAGUC
rnacentral:rRNA from 1 species